rnacentral:tRNA from 1 species
GCUCGAGUAGCGCAGGGGUAGCGCACCGCUUUCACACAGCGGGGGUCGUUGGUUCGAAACCGACCUCGAGUACCA